UCCUGAAAUGCUUUCCUACAUCUUAAAAGAGCCUUCCCUGUUCAUUCGUGCACAAGCUAAUCUCAGCCCCAGGAGAGCUGAAAACAAGGUUUUGGAGAAACCAAAGAAGAUCAUGAGCUGAAUGAGAGGGCACAAUGGAAAAAUAAUUUUCAGAAUUUCAGAGAUGACAGAUGAUAAAGUGGACAUAUCAGAAAGCACAUUGGUGCUGGCAAAAUCCUGGGUAUUUUAAUCCUGUUGUGCUUGGAACACCAUCUCAGCAGUCAACAAAGGAGGUGGGAGUCAGUCAUUCACUCAACCAAUUCACAGAGCCCCUCCUGUAUGCCAGACAUCAUGCUGGGUAUACAGUGGGCACAUACACAGUGAGCAAGGCAGGCCCUGUCCUUGUCCCCAAGGAGCUAGCUGCUGUCAUGGAGAUGUUACAUGAAACAUUGACUCCUGCUUGCAUGUAAAUGCAGU